GGAAAGGAGAGAGAAAGAAACAAUGGAGGAAAGGAAAGAAGGAAACAAGAGAGGAAAGUAGAGGUUACUGCAGGUAACAAUUAUAUCUAAUUAAGAGGAGAGGGAGGAGAGGAAGAGGAGAGAGUGAUUGAGACGGAGAUAUGAGGGGAAGUGAAGAAAAACAGAGACAAGAAAGAUUGAAGGUAAACAAGUGCGAGAGAACCUGCAGAAUAUCUGCGGUACAACAACAUGUUUAUUCCUACAACACGUCUCAUAAACACAGUGCCAAAGUUCCCCACAGAACAAAAACAAUGUGUGCUAAAAAACAUGGCAACAGCAGACUCAACAAAGCAGCUCAGACGCCCUUCUGCCUAACUACUUCCUCCAGCUUUUCCUGCUCCCCUCCCAACUGGACGUGACUGGAAAAACCACUGAUCAGAUGCCAGAAUCACCACAACUGACUCCUUUCUAAGUGAGAGAGCCGAGGCUCAACUGUCAGCCGCUAACAGGUGUCUGAGCUCCUCAUCCUCUCCUCAAAGUGUGACUAUUUUCAAGUAUUUUUUCAGGAUGGCGAUGGCGAAUGCGAUUCCCACCACCACCUCCAUGUGUUUCUCCAUCAGACGGAUGAUUUGGGUGGCGCAGGGCUGCAGGAUGAGACCAUGACAUCAUCAUUACUGUGCAUCACAUGCUUUGAUAUUUCAGUCUCACCGUGGAGUAGACGCCAGACUUGCAGUCUGUAUCGGUGGCGUUGCAGCGACAGGAGUUAGGGACUACGUCCCAGU